UGCGCAUAAAUCCCCUUUUCAUCGGAAUUGUUGUUUCAUAUCUAACUUAGUCCUUUUACCACUAUACAGAAUCGUCUCUCUCUCUCUCUCUCUCGUUGCAGCUUGCAGCAAUAUGAUAUUGUUGUGCUGGAAAUUGGAAAGUUUAGCUCGCUAGAUCUGAAUUUCAACUUCUUGUAAUUGUUAUUAUAUAGAACCCCUUCCCAUUUGGUAUUCUUGUACCAAUUAGAUCCCUUUUGAUGUGGGAUUCUCUCAUACAUCCCAAAAUCGACGGAAAAAUCUAGUCUUUCUUGAUUCUUGAGGUGCUGUCCUGAAAAAAAGGAAAUGGUAGCUGCUAAUAUGGGCACACUGUAGUAUGUGGUGGAUCAUGUGUAUGGUGCAUUACUGCACAGAACAAGGAUUAGCCCUCCAUUUUUCUCGAGGGGAUGGGGCGGCACCAAGCUUGAGCUCUUGGAGAGGAUGAUAGAUCUAAUGUUUCCUGAGAAAGAAGGUCAGAAUUGGCCUCCUGCUUUGGGUGGGAUUAUAAGACUGCUUGUUUGAGAGAAGGGGUGUUUAUUUAAGAUGCAUUGCCUCCCGAGAGCUAAGGAUGGCAUGUGUUGUUCAUCUUGCUGGUAUUUUCAUUUCUUUGCAUUGGGAUGCUGUGAUGUGUUGUGGAAACUUAUUGGAUUUUGGAAUUGGUUUGUUUUGAGUAUUGUGUUGCUAGUCCUGCCUUCUCUCUCUGUGUGUUGAGUAAUGGUUAUUGUCUUUACCUAGAACCUAGUGUGUGUGUAUUUGGCUUGGAAAUUGUCACUAGACGAAGCCUUUGAAUCAGACGAUGGUGUUGGAUUUAGAGCUGUGUCAUAGUUCAUUAAGGGGGCGUUUAUUUUUUAGGAUUAGUCUUUGAUAGACUGCAGUAGGUCAAUCCAUUGUUUAUGAAGGUGGAUUGGAACUUUGGGAUAUUCCAAGGCCUUUGAUCAUUUGAGCUAAUUUUGCUUAUUGAUUUGGAAAUGGUUGUGUGUUUGAGUAUUGGUGAUUUCUUUACCAGUGGAAACCUCUGAAUUGAAUGAUGGAGCUGGACUUAAAAUUAAGUCAUACUUGAUUAAGUGUAUGCAGCUAUUGAAGGGUCGUUGGUGGUGAUUGUCUUGACGAAGAUGUUAAUAAGAUUUGCAAAGGGAACUAAGUGGUCGUAGCCUUGGUUAUGAGUGUGUCCACAACUUGGUAUGCUGACAUUUGCAUAUGUGUAGGUGAUCUCAAAUAUUGAAACACAAGAGAAGGUUAUAGAGUUGAGAUUUUUUCUUUUCUUCGCUUCUAUUUUCAGCGCAACUAAUUAACUUGUGUGAACAUUGAUAUAUGCAAUUGGUCUGAUUGUGAUAGAAAGAAUGAGGGGGCAUUUACUCUGAGCAGUAAGAUGGUUAGAUAAAGCCAUCCAAACUAAUCUACGGCUUAAUACAACGGAUUGAUUGAUUUUGAUCUCAUUUGACCAUCCGAUCAUUUAAUCUUAUGUUUUAUCAAUCUAUCCAAAGAUUAUAUGGAUUGGAUACAUUGGAACUAUGACGAUAAUGUGAGGCAUAUGUCCUUUCAUUUCAGGGACAGGAGACCAUUCGUUUGAGCGGAGGUUACGUCUUGGUUGGCCACUGCUGAAGAAAAACAUAGCAACUAUGGUGCUUGAGAGACCUUUUCUAUGGAAGAAGGCACCCUUUGCAGCAGUAUGGUACAAAGCUGUUGUAUGUUAGUGAUUUGCUCCUAUUAGGAAGAGCCACCGUCGAAGAGGCUUGUAGCCUUCUGCAUUGGUUAGACUACGAAGCUGGUUUUGGUAGGCUUAGUAUGAGACGAUGGGUAUAUCCCGAAACACUCUGUGUUGGAGCUUCAGAAGGCAUGGCCAGGGUCUGAAGUAAGGUGGGUUUCUGGCGGCCACGUCUGGUCUUUCCUUCUCCACAAUGGGGAAUUCCGUAGAGCCAUUGUGGACGGACUUGCUAGACUGCAACGGAAGGAAUCUCCUUCAUGAUACUGUACACGCGAUUAGGAUAAUCGGACACUGCAUUUCUCCGGUGCCGGCUUCAGUCAUGGCGGGGGCGGGUGAGCCAGAGGGAGCUGAGGGCGCGGAGGCGGUGGAAGUAUUCUCCGAUGGCCAGAAAGCACCGCGCUGCUUGGCGGGUCGUCAG